rnacentral:rRNA from 1 species
GACAGAGGGUGCAAACGUUGUUCGGAAUGACUGGGCGUAAAGCGCAUGUAGGCGGUCCGAUAGGUCGGAUGUGAAAGCCCCGGGCUCAACCCGGGAAGAGCAUUCGAAACCAUUGGGCUUGAGUGCUCGAGAGGAAAGUGGAAUUCUCGGUGUAGAGGUGAAAUUCGUAGAUAUCGAGAGGAACACCAGCGGCGAAAGCGGCUUUCUGGAGGGACACUGACGCUGAGAUGCGAAAGCAUGGGGAGCAAACAGG